rnacentral:rRNA from 1 species
UGAUAUGGUCACAGAGUCAAAGUCUGAUCUCACCACAUCUCAGAAACUAAGCAAAUCUGGGCCUGGUGAGUAGUCGGAUGAAAGACCUCUGGGAAUACCAGGUGCCACACUGG